UACGUAGGCAGCAAGCGUUGUUCGGAAUUACUGGGCGUAAAGAGUGUGUAGGCGGUGUUCUAAGUCUGUUGUGAAAUCUCCCGGCUUAACUGGGAGGGUGCGGCGGAAACUGGAAUGCUAGAGGAUGGGAGAGGUAAGCGGAAUUCCUGGUGUAGCGGUGAAAUGCGUAGAUAUCGGGAGGAACACCGGUGGCGAAGGCGGUUCUCUGGGCCUUACCUGACGCUGAGGAGCGAAAGCGUGGGGAGCGAACAGG
rnacentral:rRNA from 1 species